rnacentral:rRNA from 1 species
AUUGAACGCUGGCGGCAUGCCUUACACAUGCAAGUCGAACGGCAGCGCGGGAGCAAUCCUGGCGGCGAGUGGCGAACGGGUGAGUAAUAUAUCGGAACGUGCCCAGUAGUGGGGGAUAGCCCGGCGAAAGCCGGAUUAAUACCGCAUGAGACCUGAGGGUGAAAGCGGGGGAUCGCAAGACCUCGCGCUAUUGGAGCGGCCGAUAUCAGAUUAGCUAGUUGGUGGGGUAAAGGCCUACCAAGGCAACGAUCUGUAGUUGGUCUGAGAGGAUGAUCAGCCACACUGGGACUGAGACACGGUCCAGACUCCUACGGGAGGCAGCAGUGGGGAAUUUUGCGCAAUGGACGAAAGUCUGACGCAGCAACGCCGCGUGGGUGAUGAAGGUCUUCGGAUUGUAAAACCCUGUCGCCAGGGACGAAGGGUGGGGCGUGAAUAGCGUUCUACUUUGACGGUACCUGGAAAGGAAGCCCCGGCUAACUCUGUGCCAGCAGACC